GAGCAGUAGCCAUGACACCAGUUGCAAAAACAACAGCCCGGCCGGUUUGCUGGAGUUUUCAUUAGUUUAAAAAUCAGUUUUUCAUUACAGUUUAUUUCAAAUUUUUGUUGGAACUAAGGAAAAAAAGAUCCAAAAUCUACAUUCGCGUAGAUCCAGAAUCUACAUCGCCCGAUUAUAUUGUUAAUAUUGGUCCAUGAGACACAUGCUGCAUCACCAUAUUCGAUUAUCGUCAACAAGCCAACAUCAGAAUCUGAAGAGAUAUUCUAUAUCUGUUACAGACGGGUCCAGGAUUUCCCAAGAUGAUGCUGCUGUGCGACACGAGUAUUUUGUGUUUCAAAUAUUUCAUUUACGGGAUUAUUUUAUAGAAUGAGCAAUAAAAAUUAGUGCUACAAUCAUA